GUCCACGUGGUGAAGCGGUCAACACCGCAGUCUGCAAAACUGCUAUUCGCCCGUUCGAAUCGGGCCGUGGACUCCA
rnacentral:tRNA from 1 species